rnacentral:rRNA from 1 species
GAAAACUCCGGUGGUAAAAGAUGGGCAUGCGUUGUAUUAGCUAGUUGGUGAGGUAACGGCUCACCAAGGCGACGAUACAUAGGGGGACUGAGAGGUUAACCCCCCACAUUGGUACUGAGACACGGACCAAACUCCUACGGGAGGCAGCAGUGAGGAAUAUUGGUCAAUGGACGCAAGUCUGAACCAGCCAUGCCGCGUGCAGGAAGACGGCUCUAUGAGUUGUAAACUGCUUUUGUACGAGGGUAAAUGCAGGUACGUGUAUCUGUUUGAAAGUAUCGUACGAAUAAGGAUCGGCUAACUCCGUGCCAGCAGCCGCGGUAAUACGGAGGAUCCAAGCGUUAUCCGGAUUUAUUGGGUUUAAAGGGUGCGUAGGCGGUUUUAUAAGUUAGAGGUGAAAUCUCGGGGCUCAACUCCGAAAUUGCCUCUAAUACUGUAGGACUAGAGAGUAGUUGCGGUAGGCGGAAUGUAUGGUGUAGCGGUGAAAUGCUUAGAGAUCAUACAGAACACCGAUUGCGAAGGCAGCUUACCAAACUAUAUCUGACGUUGAGGCACGAAAGCGUGGGGAGCAAACAGGAUUAGAUACCCUGGUAGUCCACGCAGUAAACGAUGAUAACUCGUUGUCGGCGAUACACAGUCG